UCUCACCUUUCGCUUUCGCAACCAUGUCUUAAACUAACUGGGAAGCUGAUAAGAUGUUAGAUGUUUAUAUCCAUGAUUAUCUUGUGAAGAGGGAUUUAAAGGCUUCUGCUCAGGCUUUUCAAGCUGAGGGAAAAAUAUCCUCGGACCCUGUUGCAAUUGAUGCCCCUGGAGGUUUUCUGUUCGAGUGGUGGUCGGUUUUCUGGGAUAUAUUUAUUGCAAGGACUAAUGAGAAACACU